CCUACGGGAGGCUGCAGUGGGGGAGCUUCGGCAAUGGGCGAAAGCCUGACCGAGCGACGCCGCGUGCGGGAUGAAGGCCUUCGGGUUGUAAACCGCUUUCAGAGGAGAAGAAAUGCACAGGAGCUAAUACCUCCGGUGUUAGACGGUACCUUCAGAAGAAGCCCUGGCUAACUCCGUGCCAGCAGCCGCGGUGAUACGGAGAGGGCAAGCGUUGUUCGGAUUUAUUGGGCGUAAAGGGCGCGUAGGCGGUUUGUUAAGUCUCCAGUGAAAUUUCCAGAGCUCAACUCGGAACCCGCUGGAGAUACUGGCGAACUAGAGUACAGGAGAGGAGAGCGGAAUUCCCGGUGUAGCGGUGAAAUGCGUAGAUAUCGGGAAGAACACCAGUGGCGAAGGCGGCUCUCUGGCCUGAAACUGACGCUGAGGCGCGAAAGCCAGGGGAGCGAACGGGCUUAGAUACCCCUGUAGUC
rnacentral:rRNA from 1 species